rnacentral:rRNA from 1 species
GACGAACGCUGGCGGCGUGCUUAACACAUGCCAGUCGAACGGUGAAGCGCCUUCCUUUUUGGUGGGUGUGGAUGAGUGGCGAACGGGUGAGUAACACGUGAGUAACCUGCCCCCUUCUUCUGGAUAACCGCAUGAAAGUGUGGCUAAUACGGGAUAUUCUGGGUCUGUCGCAUGAUGGGUCUGGGAAAGAUAUUGUUUCGGUGGGGGAUGGGCUCGCGGCCUAUCAGCUUGUUGGUGGGGUGAUGGCCUACCAAGGCGGUGACGGGUAGCCGGCCUGAGAGGGUGGACGGUCACACCGGGACUGAGACACGGCCCCGACUCCUACGGGAGGCAGCAGUGGGGAAUAUUGCACAAUGGGCGCAAGACUGAUGCAGCGACGCCGCGUGAGGGAUGGAGGCCUUCGGGUUGUGAACCUCUUUCGCCAGUGAAGCAGGCCUGCCUCGUUUGUGGGUGGGUUGACGGUAGCUGGAUAAGAAGCGCCGGCUAACUACGUG